rnacentral:lncRNA from 1 species
UUUAACCUCGCCACAUUCUGUAUGUAUGUGCUUGUCCAAAGUCAGGAGUCUUUAAUUCAGUGGUUUCCGUUUGUUGCUGUCUUACAUAUUUGUUUUUUGUUCAUUUUUUAUACAUAAAUUAGAGCGUUAGUUUUCUCGUUUGAAUUGUUCUACAUUUGUCAUUUCAGGACCUUUUAUAGCUAACUAUGCGGGAUGAGCUUUGCUCAUUGUUGAAGGUCGUACGGUGACCUAUACUUGUUAAUUUUGUGUCACAUGGUCUCUUGUGAAGAGUUGUCUCAUUGGCAAUCAUAUAACAUCUUUUUUUUUUAUAUUAUAUGCUCAUAUGCAUUGAUAAUUUUCUUGAAAUAAUCAUAGAUUUUUGUUAGAUGUAUCCAUCUGAUGAGUUAAGCCUUAUUGUUGUCAAUGUUUUUAUUUGUUUUGAUGCUUCAUAUGAUUACAGGAUAUUUUCUAGUGUUUUACCUCUUAUUUUUUACGUGGCGAGGAUCUUCAGAGGUCUCCACGUUUCACAGAUUGCUCUGUUUUGCCAGACAAGCUGGG